rnacentral:ncRNA from 1 species
GGUGGUAGGUCCACCGCAUACGGCGUACAGGCGCAGUUUGCAAACCACUUUGUGCGGCUGGAAGGGAAACUGACUGGUCGUGAACGACAAAUGGAAGGCUGAU